GAUCAUGGCUCAGGAUGAACGCUAGCGGCAGGCUUAAUACAUGCAAGUCGAGGGGCAGCAUGGUGUAGCAAUACACUGAUGGCGACCGGCAAACGGGUGCGGAACACGUACAGAACCUUCCUUCGAGCGGGGAAUAGCCCAGAGAAAUUUGGAUUAAUACCCCAUAGUAUUAUGGAGUGGCAUCACUUUGUAAUUAAAGAUUUAUCACUUGAAGAUGGCUGUGCGGCUGAUUAGGUAGUUGGCGGGGUAACGGCCCACCAAGCCUGCGAUCAGUAACUGGUGUGAGAGCACGAACAGUCACACGGGCACUGAGACACGGGCCCGACUCCUACGGGAGGCAGCAGUAAGGAAUAUUGGUCAAUGGACGAAAGUCUGAACCAGCCAUGCCGCGUGGAGGAUGAAGGUCCUCUGGAUUGUAAACUUCUUUUAUAUGGGACGAAAAAAGGCCUCUCUAGGUCGUCUGACGGUACCAUAUGAAUAAGCACCGGCUAACUCCGUG
rnacentral:rRNA from 1 species